GAAAGGAGAGCCUGCGGAGAAAGAAGCAUUUCCCGGAGGAAGCAGUGGUUGCAUGCCAGCCUCAGCUCCAGGAAGGGAGGCCAUGCCAGGCACAGGCACAGGAGAUGAGGGUGCUGGGAAGGCUUCUCCAUCAGCUUGGAUGAAUAAAAUUUUGAAGCCCUUGGAGCCUCCUGCAGAUGUGUCUACAGGGAAGACUUCUCCAGCUUCUCCAGCUGCUACCUUGGAUGCUGCACUCAAGCCCAGCUCCCAUCUCAGGGGUACUCCAACAGGGAAAAUCCAAGAUACAACAGAUAAGAUAUCCCUGGAACCAUCCAAACAGAUGAGGCAAGAGCUGAAGGAACCCCUGCAGACAAGAGAAG